AGUGAACGCUGGCGGUAGGCCUAACACAUGCAAGUCGACCGGCAGCACAGUAAGAGCUUCCUCUUACGGAUGACGACUGGCGGACGUUUCCUGAAUGCUUCGGACUCUACUUUUUCGUGGAUGAUAACGUAUGGUAACUUACUCUAAUACCGCAUACGACCUACGAGUGAAAUAAGCGCAUCGUCGGACCUUUCGCGCUUGAAUGAGCCUUUGUCGGGUUAGAUCGUUGGCGGGGUAAAGGCCCACGAAGGCGACGUUGCGUGGCAGGUCUGAGAGGAUGAUCAGCCACACUGGAACUGAGACACGGUCCAGACGCCUACGGGAGGCAGCAGUGGGGAAUAGUGGAGCAUGGGCGCAAACCUGAUGCAGCCAGACCGAGUGGGUGAAGAAGGCCUUCGGGUUGUAAAGCCCUGUUGUUGGGAAAGAAAAGCAGCAGGUUAAUACCACGCUGUUAUGACGGUACCAAAAGAAGAAGCACCGGCUAAAUUCGUG
rnacentral:rRNA from 1 species